rnacentral:rRNA from 1 species
AGGCUUUGAUCCUGGCUCAGAUUGAACGCUGGCGGAAUGCUUUACACAUGCAAGUCGAACGGCAGCACGGGUGCUUGCACCUGGUGGCGAGUGGCGAACGGGUGAGUAAUAUAUCGGAACGUACCCAGUAAUGGGGGAUAACUAGCCGAAAGGUUAGCUAAUACCGCAUACGCCCUGAGGGGGAAAGCGGGGGACCGUAAGGCCUCGCGUUAUUGGAGCGGCCGAUAUCUGAUUAGCUAGUUGGUGGGGUAAUGGCCUACCAAGGCGACGAUCAGUAGCUGGUCUGAGAGGGUGACCGGCCACACUGGGACUGAGACACGGCCCAGACUCCUACGGGAGGCAGCAGUGGGGAAUAUUGCACAAUGGGCGCAAGCCUGAUGCAGCAACGCCGCGUGAGGGACGACGGCCUUCGGGUUGUAAACCUACUUUUAGCAGGGAAGAAGCGAAAGUGACGGUACCUGCUAG